AAUGUCACGGCCCCGUAAUCCCACCGAAAUAGAUCCGCCCAUGGAUCGAACGGCAUCUGAAUCGCAUUUCCGUAUUCAGAAUCAAAAACGACAUUAUUUUCCAUCAGGAAGUUGUAAGAAAGCAAUUUUGUUACUAUUUGAGGUCUUAGUAGUUUCUCUAAUAGUCUCUUUGCAUACCUCAAAGUUCUAACUGCCAAUCCAUUUUCUGGACUAGUUACCUAAUGUUCUUUUUUUUUUUUUUUUUUUUAGCACACGCUACGGACGGCU